GGCGGGAGAAUCAAUAUUACUUUUCGCCGGCGACUCGCCAUUUUCGUCGUAAAAUUUUUCGUGAGCAACGGAACACACGUCAUACGUAGUUUUCCUCGACAGUGAAUCAGUCUCUGCUAUGUUGAGCUCUUAAGAAACCAACUGCCGCAACGUUCAGCUACGAUGUAGCAUUAGAACCGAGUGCGAACGGCCGUCUUUCUGCUUUAGCCAAAGUUUCUUUUCAUCGCUUUUACCGCAGUGUCUAUAUUUCAUUUGCUCCAUAUCACGAACUAACUGUUCAAGCAAUUUAACAAUAUCAAUAUCGUACAAAUAUCACGGACCGGAUCUAUUAAAACAGCAAAAGAAUUAUUAUUGCUGUUCGUGUAAACAUAAAGUGAUCGAAAUAAGUAGAAUCAAAUUAUCAAUUCGACCAAUACGAACCAACUAAGUUACAUCAGUGAAAACGAAUCAGCUGAUUGAAAUUGUCAAGAGCAACGUCGACUGGAAGAACUCUAAUGACAUUAUUGGAGACGAAGAAGAGCUUUGUUCCAAGAGACAAGUCUAAUUAAUUAAUAUCAGAAGAGUUAAACCAAAAUUCUUCAGAUAUCUUUUCUCAGAGAAACUGAAGUUAACGAAACAGAGGAGACUAAUCUUUUGAAAUAUUACAUUACUUUAAAGAAUAGUCACUGAGAGGAUCGAUAAAGAAGAAAAAGGUUCGGUUAAGGUAAGAACUCCAUAGUUGGAGUGACCUAAAACAAUCCAUUGUUACGAACGAUCUUCUAUGCGGCAAGAAUCCAAAAACGGUCUGAAGAUCAGGCCACCGGGUGACCACGGUGUGCAUCACAGUGGGGUCAUGCUUGAAGAAGACAUGGCUGGCGCUAAGGAUACGAUAUACCUGUGCAACUUCCGUGUUUCUGUCGACGGCGAGUGGCUGUGCCUGAAAGAGCUUCAGGAUGUCGAGUUUUCGUUGCAGGAGUCGAUGCAACGUUCACCAUCGCCACCGUUCGCUCUCAGUGGUAUUAACCAUCAUCAUCAUCAUCAUCAUAAUGAUCAUCAUCGUCAGCAACAGCUUCCCGAUCAGCGAGAGCUUCGCGAUAUAAUGCCGCCAAGCCCACCGCCAUUGCAGCACGUUUCCAGCUUGUCACGCGAUCCAGUCAUCAUCGAGAGGAGUAAUCUUGUGAAUAUUUCGAAAUUAAUCGUGAAGGAGCUGAUCGAAACGUCUUUGAAGUAUGGUCGGAUGCUCGAUUCUGAUCAUAUGCCAUUGCAACAUUUUUUCAUCGUUCUUGAACACGUGCUUAGGCAUGGUUUACGACCAAAGAAGGGUCUACUUGGACCCAAGAAGGAGCUUUGGGAUAUACUUCAGCUCGUUGAGAAAUAUUGUUCCGAAGCACAGGACAUUACGUCCAGUAUUCGUGAUCUACCUACUGUUAGGACUGCAAUGGGUAGAGCGCGAGCAUGGUUGCGUAUGGCGUUAAUGCAGAAAAAGCUAGCGGACUACUUGAAAGUUUUAAUCGACCACAAGGAAGAUAUAUUGUCCGAGUAUUUCGAGCCUGACGCUCUGAUGAUGAGCGAGGAGGCAAUCGUUAUAAUGGGCUUGUUGGUGGGCUUGAACGUAAUCGACUGCAACUUCUGUGUAAAGGAAGAAGACCUCGAUUGUCAACAAGGUGUGAUCGAUUUCUCGCUGUACCUGCGAAACAGCAAUCAUAUACCUGGUGAAUCUCCAGACGACGAGCUUGAAAAUGAUAACAUGACAACUGUCCUCGACCAGAAAAAUUACAUCGAGGAACUAAACCGACAUUUAAACGCAACUGUGACAAACCUUCAAGCCAAAGUGGAAUCCUUGACAACGACAAACGCUCUCAUGAAGGAGGACCUGUCUAUCGCAAAAAAUAACAUUUUGUCGCUUCACGAGGAGAAUAGACAAUUGAAAAAAGAGUUGGGAAUCGAAAUCAAAGACACGAACGAGAAUGGGAAACCACCAAUCAAAAUUACUGAAACGACGACAGAGAUCGAGGAGUUGAGAAGUAGGCUAGAUGCUGAAAAGAAAUUGCGGCAGGAUGUAGAAAAGGAAUUAGAAUUACAGAUUAGUAUGAAGUCAGAAAUGGAAGUGGCUAUGAAGCUGUUGGAGAAAGAUAUUCAUGAGAAACAAGACACGAUCAUAUCGCUGCGACGACAGCUCGACGAGAUCAAGUUAAUUAACUUGGAAAUGUAUAAAAAGCUACAGGAAUGUGAGCACGAACUAACGCAGAAAGGAGAAAUGGUGAGCCGGCUUCAUGCGAAGACGAAUCAAAUCGGCAAGAUCCUGAAUAAUCUUGAGAAGUGCAACCACAUGAAAAAGGAUGGGGAAAAUAUUCGUAGCCCAACCACGCCGAGCAGUAUCUCGAAAUCGAUUCUUAAUAAGACCAGUCCCACUUCACCACGAUGUUACUCGUCUGCAGACAAUGUAUCCGCGGUUGAUUAUCAGCACCCUCCUAAUAAUCAGCAACAAUCAGCUAACAAUCAUCAAAAACCAACUAAUAAUCAGCAAACUAACAAUAACCAACAAUCCACUAAUGCUCAACAGCAAUCCCUCACUAAGCAACCAUAUUCUCCUAAUAAUAACGGGCAAACAAGGGGUAACGAGCAACAAAAUGGCGCUAACGAAAAGGAAAUGGCAAAGCCUGAUACCCCAGAACAGAGUAAAUCGAACGGUGAGGUUUCUAUGGAGGCGGAGGAACAAUCGACUGCAUAAAAGAACACUGUUUCUAGAGAAUGGUUUUUAUACUAUGCAUCUUCAUACUCCGUUUAAUAUUUCGACUAAUCGAGGGCGUAUAAAUGACGGCAAAUCCUUUAUACGAAUGUGUUCCUGAAAUUUCCAAUGACAUUUUAAAGAAUGUCGGUGUAUAUAGAAGUAUUAGUGUAUUUCAACAUUUGUUAAUUGACAAUUCUGUACAUAAUUUAUGAAAUGUGAUUUUUAUUUCAUUUUUUGUAUUUUACAAUAGAUUUUCUUAGGUACUUAAAUUAUCUCUCUGUUUCAAUUUUUAGUUUCAAUAAAUUCUUUAACUCAUUAACUGGUUGCUAAUCUCCUGAACAUAAUAAUUUCUUUAUUUAGAGACCACCUGUCUUUCUUUCUUUCUUAUCGCUUCUGUUAAAAAUAAAUUACGUCAUAAUUAUAUUUACAAGGAUUAAAAUCGAUAUAGCUGAAACUGAUUUGUCUUUAUUAAUUUGUCAUUUUUUAAUUAUGAAUGUUUUUAACUAAAGAAUGCCCUAGUUAAUACAUUAAUAAAUCUCCUACGUAGAAAAUCUGUAUUAUUCUGAAAUAAGUUGAAACAGAGGAGCUUUAUUUUACAUUAUUUAAGUUAGUAGACAUUGACUGUAUAUCGUGUAACUGUAAUCGGAGCCUAAAAGCAUAACUGUUAUGAUACAUUUGUGGAUAUAAUGGUUGUUAAUGAAUAGAAUAUAAUCACGAAAAAUGUUGUUGGAUUAUUCAGAAGCACUAUUAUUAUACAUUUAACGCUAAACAAGCUAUAUCACUUAGAUCUUUCACAUGGCAGGACUUUAUAUAUCUAAAAUGCGUAGAAUAUGAACGAGAAUGAAAUAUUCGAUAUUUAAUUAUCCAGCAAUCCAUGCAUCAAUAAGCUUUUAAAUGCAACACCUGUCGUGGUGUGUUUCAAUCGAGACACUUUAUGAAUGUAACUGUGCUUUGUUACGGCAUAGUUACGCUAUUUCAAUAAAAUUGCUAUUUUGUCCACAGAACUAUCGACGACAAUAACAUUAUUAUACACAUGUUUUUCAUAUCUUCAUCAUAUUCAAUCAGGAUGCAUUUUAUUGUUCAUCAGAUUCUGAUUCUAAUUAUUAUCCUCUUUUUGUAGAGUGUCUCGGAUACUUAAUUUCAAUCCAUCGUGAAAACAUUGUAUUUUAACGAAUAUUAAUUGUCCUGUCAAAUUGAUAGCAAUUUCUCUCUAUCAAAUAAUUUAUCAUUGGAUUUUGUUAACAGAGAAAGUAGAUUCAUUUAUAUUUAUCGAACAUUUUCACGGAUUCCCGAUAAAUGAAAUGGAAGGUAAUAUCAAUUGACAAAUAAUUAAUAUUCCAUUUGAAACUCGACGAAAAAGAAUCUUUUAUUCAACCUAUGUUUAAUGGGAUUGAAAACUUAUGUUGCACGAUUUUCCAUUAAUUUCACCGCACAUUAACGAUUACGACGUCUGAAUCUUUUAGAAAACUGUUUUACAUUUAUCAUAUACAUCAUCUACAUUGGUACAGGAUGAGCUUGCAGCUAUAAAUUACACAAUGUACAUUUUACUUCUAAGAAUUACGUGCAAUUUCAGGGCUCUUCCUUUAAUCGAGAAACAAAUGAAACGGUUCUUUCCGCCUUUCACUGAAAUAGGGUUUAUUUCAGGAGUGCGAAGGCUCGCUUAAGCAUAAAACAGAACUGAUCACUAAAUUGGAGGCUAAGACGCUAUCGAUGACUGAAACCAUCCAGAAAAUGGAUGAGAAGUGCAAGGAAAUGGACGACGUAAAAUCAGAUGCAGUAGAGAGAGUGAGGAU